rnacentral:rRNA from 1 species
CUGAAACAUCUAAGUACCCCGAGGAAAAGAAAUCAACCGAGAUUCCCCCAGUAGCGGCGAGCGAACGGGGAGCAGCCCAGAGUCUGAAUCAGCAUGUGUGUUAGUGGAAGCGUCUGGAAAGUCGCACGAUACAGGGUGAAAGUCCCGUACACAAAAGUGCAUGUGUUGUGAACUCGAAGAGUAGGGCGGGACACGUGGUAUCCUGUCUGAAUAUGGGGGGACCAUCCUCCAAGGCUAAAUACUCCUGACUGACCGAUAGUGAACCAGUACCGUGAGGGAAAGGCGAAAAGAACCCCGGCGAGGGGAGUGAAAAAGAACCUGAAACCGUGUACGUACAAGCAGUGGGAGCACCCUUUGGGGUGUGACUGCGUACCUUUUGUAUAAUGGGUCAGCGACUUAUAUUCUGUAGCAAGGUUAACCGAAUAGGGGAGCCGAAGGGAAACCGAGUCUUAACUGGGCGUUAAGUUGCAGGGUAUAGACCCGAAACCCGGUGAUCUAGCCAUGGGCAGGUUGAAGGUUGGGUAACACUAACUGGAGGACCGAACCGACUAAUGUUGAAAAAUUAGCGGAUGACUUGUGGCUGGGGGUGAAAGGCCAAUCAAACCGGGAGAUAGCUGGUUCUCCCCGAAAGCUAUUUAGGUAGCGCCUCGUGAACUCAUCUUCGGGGGUAGAGCACUGUUUCGGCUAGGGGGUCAUCCCGACUUACCAACCCGAUGCAAACUGCGAAUACCGAAGAAUGUUAUCACGGGAGACACACGGCGGGUGCUAACGUCCGUCGUGAAGAGGGAAACAACCCAGACCGCCAGCUAAGGUCCCAAAGUCAUGGUUAAGUGGGAAACGAUGUGGGAAGGCACAGACAGCCAGGAUGUUGGCUUAGAAGCAGCCAUCAUUUAAAGAAAGCGUAAUAGCUCACUGGUCGAGUCGGCCUGCGCGGAAGAUGUAACGGGGCUAAACCAUGCACCGAAGCUGCGGCAGCGACACUAUGUGUUGUUGGGUAGGGGAGCGUUCUGUAAGCCGUUGAAGGUGUAUCGUGAGGUAUNNNNNNNNNNCACGCCGGAAGACCAAGGGUUCCUGUCCAACGUUAAUCGGGGCAGGGUGAGUCGACCCCUAAGGCGAGGCCGAAAGGCGUAGUCGAUGGGAAACAGGUUAAUAUUCCUGUACUUGGUGUUACUGCGAAGGGGGGACGGAGAAGGCUAUGUUAGCCGGGCGACGGUUGUCCCGGUUUAAGCAUGUAGGCGGAAUGACCAGGUAAAUCCGGUCGUUUAUUAACGCUGAGGUGUGAUGACGAGGCACUACGGUGCUGAAGUAACAAAUGCCCUGCUUCCAGGAAAAGCCUCUAAGCAUCAGGUAACACGAAAUCGUACCCCAAACCGACACAGGUGGUCAGGUAGAGAAUACCAAGGCGCUUGAGAGAACUCGGGUGAAGGAACUAGGCAAAAUGGUGCCGUAACUUCGGGAGAAGGCACGCUGAUAUGUAGGUGAAGUGAUUUACUCAUGGAGCUGAAAUCAGUCGAAGAUACCAGCUGGCUGCAACUGUUUAUUAAAAACACAGCACUGUGCAAACACGAAAGUGGACGUAUACGGUGUGACGCCUGCCCGGUGCCGGAAGGUUAAUUGAUGGGGUUAUCCGUAAGGAGAAGCUCUUGAUCGAAGCCCCGGUAAACGGCGGCCGUAACUAUAACGGUCCUAAGGUAGCGAAAUUCCUUGUCGGGUAAGUUCCGACCUGCACGAAUGGCGUAAUGAUGGCCAGGCUGUCUCCACCCGAGACUCAGUGAAAUUGAACUCGCUGUGAAGAUGCAGUGUACCCGCGGCAAGACGGAAAGACCCCGUGAACCUUUACUAUAGCUUGACACUGAACACUGGUCCUUGAUGUGUAGGAUAGGUGGGAGGCUUUGAAGUGUGGACGCCAGUCUGCAUGGAGCCAUCCUUGAAAUACCACCCUUUAAUGGCUGGUGUUCUAACGUAGACCCGUAAUCCGGGUUGCGGAC